CAGAGGAAGAAUUCCCUGUCACAGUGUCAAGAUCCAACAUGGUGGAGCGCAGCCUUGCGCAGUGGAAGCAGCAAAAGGAGGUAUUGCCCAGUUUCCAGCUGAAGGUCACAUUCAUAGGGGAGGCUGGCAUUGAUACAGGGGCAUUACGGAAAGAAUUCCUCACAGAUAUGGUGGCCGGCUUGAAGCAAAGGUUAUUUGAGGGUGACAAGACUGGAAAACCUCCCAAAUAUUAAUUGCUUGAUCUGGACCAAGGAAACUUCCAGAGUGCUGGUGAAAUUUGGGCAGUAAGUUUGGCUCAAGGUGGACCACCACCCUGCUGCCUGAAAGAG